rnacentral:tRNA from 1 species
AUUUACAUAGUUUAAACAAAACAUUACAUUUUCAUUGUAAAAUUAGAUCCAUUCUUGUAAAUA